CCUACGGGAGGCAGCAGUGGGGAAUAUUGCACAAUGGGCGAAAGCCUGAUGCAGCAACGCCGCGUGAGUGAUGAAGGCCUUCGGGUUGUAAAGCUCUUGUCUUCUGGGACGAUAAUGACGGUACCAGAGGAGGAAGCCACGGCUAACUACGUGCCAGCAGCCGCGGUAAU
rnacentral:rRNA from 1 species